rnacentral:rRNA from 1 species
CGCCGAAAGACUAAGGUUUCCUGAUCAACGCUAAUCGGAUCAGGGUUAGUCGGGGCCUAAGGGGAAGCCGAACGGCGCACCCGAUGGAAGAACCGGUUAAUAUUCCGGUACUAAUUAUGUGAGCGAUGUGGAGACGGAGAUGUGACGGUCCUGCCAACUGACGGAAUAGUUGGUUGAAGGGUGUAGGAGUUGAUCUGAGUAGGCAAAUCCGCUCGGAGAUCCGAACCUGACAGUACUCUGAGUGCUUGCACAAGGAGAUAUGGACAACUGUAACGGUGCUCCCAAGAAAAUCCGCUAAGCAUAUUGCAUGAUUACCCGUACCAUAAACCGACACAGGUGGUUGGGUUGAGUAUACUAAGGCGCUCGAGUGAUUCGCGGUUAAGGAACUAGGCAAAAUAGUCCUGUAACUUCGGAAUAAAGGACGCUCACAGUGAAGGCUGUGAGCCGCAGAGAAUAGGCCCAGGCGACUGUUUAACAAAAACACAUGGCUAUGCUAAAUCGAAAGAUACUGUAUAUAGCCUGACACCUGCCCGGUGCUGGAAGGUUAAGAGGAGAUGUCAUCGCAAGAGAAGCAUUGAAUUGAAGCCCCAGUAAACGGCGGCCGUAACUAUAACGGUCCUAAGGUAGCGAAAUUCCUUGUCGGGUAAGUUCCGACCUGCACGAAUGGUGUAACGAUCUGGGCACUGUCUCAACCGCGAGCUCGGUGAAAUUGUAGUAUCGGUGAAGAUGCCGAUUACCCGCAACGGGACGAAAAGACCCCGUGAACCUUUACUAUAGCUUUACAUUGUAUUUGGGUAACAGAUGUGUAGGAUAGGCCGGAGACUAUGAAGCGGGCACGCCAGUGUUUGUGGAGUCGCUGUUGAAAUACGGCCCUUUUGUUACUUGGGUACUAACUCGCAGAGCGAGGACAGUGUAUGGUGGGUAGUUUGACUGGGGUGGUCGCCUCCAAAAGCGUAACGGAGGCUUCUAAAGGUACCCUCAGACCGAUUGGUAACCGGUCGUAGAGUGUAAUGGCAUAAGGGUGCUUGACUGGGAGACAAACAAGUCGCACAGGUAGGAAACUAGAGCAUAGUGAUCCGGUGGUUCCGUAUGGAAGGGCCAUCGCUCAAAGGAUAAA